rnacentral:rRNA from 1 species
UACGGGGGGGGCAAGCGUUGUUCGGAAUUACUGGGCGUAAAGGGCUCGUAGGCGGCCAACUAAGUCAGACGUGAAAUCCCUCGGCUUAACCGGGGAACUGCGUCUGAUACUGGAUGGCUUGAGACUGGGAGAGGGAUGCGGAAUUCCAGGUGUAGCGGUGAAAUGCGUAGAUAUCUGGAGGAACACCGGUGGCGAAGGCGACAUCCUGGACCAACACUGACGCUGAGGAGCGAAAGCCAGGGGAGCAAACGGG